UAGUCAUUGGGACUGCUUUCUGUGGUAUAC
rnacentral:piRNA from 1 species